CAGCCGUAAAACUAUGCGCGUUAGGUGUACUGGUGACCACGAGUCACCGGGGUGCCGAAGGGAAACCGUGAAACGUGCCGCCUGGGAAGUACGGUCGCAAGGCUGAAACUUAAAGGAAUUGGCGGGGGAGCACCGCAACGGGAGGAGCGUGCGGUUUAAUUGGAUUCAACACCGUAAACUCACCAGGGAAGACUGUUACAUGAAGGCCGAGAUGAAGACUCUGCUAGAUUUCAGAGGAGGUGCAUGGCGUCAGUGACU
rnacentral:rRNA from 1 species